GACAGAGGUGCCGAGCGUUAGGCGGAAUCACUGGGCUUAAAGCGUGUGUAGGCGGGUCGUUAAGUGCCUUGUGAAAUCCCACAGCUCACCUGUGGAACUGCUUGGCAUACUGGCGAUCUUGAGCCACUUAGGGGCAACCGGAACAAACGGUGGAGCGGUGAAAUGCGUAGAGAUCUGGAAGAACACCAAAGGCGAAGGCAGCGUCCUGGGAAGCAUCUGACGCUCAGGUGCGAAAGCUAGGGGAGCGAACGGG
rnacentral:rRNA from 1 species